GGGCCGCUAGCUCAGGUGGUAGAGCAGCUGACUCUUAAUCAGCGGGUCCGGGGUUCGAAUCCCUGGCGGCCCA
rnacentral:tRNA from 1 species